AUUGAACGCUGGCGGCAGGCCUAACACAUGCAAGUCGAGCGGUAGAGAGAAGCUUGCUUCUCUUGAGAGCGGCGGACGGGUGAGUAAUGCCUAGGAAUCUGCCUGGUAGUGGGGGAUAACGCUCGGAAACGGACGCUAAUACCGCAUACGUCCUACGGGAGAAAGCAGGGGACCUUCGGGCCUUGCGCUAUCAGAUGAGCCUAGGUCGGAUUAGCUAGUUGGUGGGGUAAUGGCUCACCAAGGCGACGAUCCGUAACUGGUCUGAGAGGAUGAUCAGUCACACUGGAACUGAGACACGGCCCAGACUCCUACGGGAGGCAGCAGUGGGGAAUAUUGGACAAUGGGCGAAAGCCUGAUCCAGCCAUGCCGCGUGUGUGAAGAAGGUCUUCGGAUUGUAAAGCACUUUAAGUUGGGAGGAAGGGCAGUAACCUAAUACGUUGCUGCCUUGACGUUACCGACAGAAUAAGCACCGGCUAACUUCGUGCCAGCAGCCGCGGUAAUACGAAGGGUGCAAGCGUUAAUCGGAAUUACUGGGCGUAAAGCGCGCGUAGGUGGUUCGU
rnacentral:rRNA from 1 species